rnacentral:rRNA from 1 species
GAUGAACGCUGGCGGCGUGCCUAACACAUGCAAGUCGAGCGAUCUUCUUCGGAAGAGAGCGGCGGACGGGUGAGUAACGCGUGGGUAACCUGCCCUGUACACACGGAUAACAUACCGAAAGGUAUGCUAAUACGAGAUAAUAUGCUUUUAUCGCAUGGUAGAGGUAUCAAAGCUCCGGCGGUACAGGAUGGACCCGCGUCUGAUUAGCUAGUUGGUAAGGUAACGGCUUACCAAGGCGACGAUCAGUAGCCGACCUGAGAGGGUGAUCGGCCACAUUGGAACUGAGACACGGUCCAAACUCCUACGGGAGGCAGCAGUGGGGAAUAUUGCACAAUGGGCGAAAGCCUGAUGCAGCAACGCCGCGUGAGCGAUGAAGGCCUUCGGGUCGUAAAGCUCUGUCCUCAAGGAAGAUAAUGACGGUACUUGAGGAGGAAGCCCCGGCUAACUACGUGCCAGCAGCCGCCGUAAUAC